UACGUAGGGGGCUAGCGUUGUCCGGAAUCAUUGGGCGUAAAGAGCGCGUAGGCGGCCAGAUAAGUCCGGUGUGAAAGUCAAAGGCUCAACCUUUGAAUGCCGCUGGAAACUGUCUGGCUAGAGUCCGGGAGGGGCGAGUGGAAUUCCUGGUGUAGCGGUGAAAUGCGCAGAUAUCAGGAGGAACACCAUGGCGAAGGCAGCUCGCUGGAACGGUACUGACGCUGAGGCGCGAAAGCGUGGGGAGCGAACAGG
rnacentral:rRNA from 1 species